rnacentral:rRNA from 1 species
UACGUAGGGGGCAAGCGUUGUCCGGAUUUAUUGGGCGUAAAGAGCGUGUAGGCGGCCAGACAGGUCCGUUGUGAAAACUCGAGGCUCAACCUCGAGAUGUCGAUGGAAACCGUCUGGCUAGAGUCCGGAAGAGGAGUGUGGAAUUCCUGGUGUAGCGGUGAAAUGCGCAGAUAUCAGGAGGAACACCAGUGGCGAAGGCGCCGCUCUGGGCCGUGACUGACGCUGAGGAGCGAAAGCGUGGGUAGCAAACAGG